rnacentral:rRNA from 1 species
UCCACCGAAUGACUAAGGUUUCCUGGGGAAGGCUCGUCCUCCCAGGGUUAGUCGGGACCUAAGCUGAGGCCGAACGGCGUAGGCGAUGGUCAACAGGUUGAUAUUCCUGUACCAGUUUCUUUUGUUUGACCGAUGGAGAGACGCAGCAGGCUAAGAUAUGCCCACUGAUGGAUGUGGGUGCAAAUAAUAAGUCUGGCGAUGAGUCAAAUGCUUAUCGCUAAGGACAAGUUAUGACGCGGAGGGAAGUACAGUACCGAAGUAUCUGACGUCACACUGC